GUGGGGAAUUUUGGACAAUGGGCGCAAGCCUGAUCCAGCCAUGCCGCGUGUGUGAAGAUGGUCUUCGGAUUGUAAAGCACUUUAAGUUGGGAGGAAGGGCAGUAAGUUAAUACCUUGCUGUUUUGACGUUACCGACAGAAUAAGCACCGGCUAACUUCGUGCCAGCAGCCGCGGUAAUACGAAGGGUGCAAGCGUUAAUCGGAAUUACUGGGCGUAAAGCGCGCGUAGGUGGUUUUGUAAGUUGGAGGUGAAAUCCCCGGGCUCAACCUGGGAACUGCCUCCAAAACUGCAUGACUAGAGUACGGUAGAGGGUAGUGGAAUUUCCUGUGUAGCGGUGAAAUGCGUAGAUAUAGGAAGGAACACCAGUGGCGAAGGCGACUACCUGGACUGAUACUGACACUGAGGUGCGAAAGCGUGGGGAGCAAACAGGAUUAGAUACCCGAGUAGUCC
rnacentral:rRNA from 1 species